rnacentral:rRNA from 1 species
UAGGGGAAUCUUGCACAAUGGGGCGAAAGCCUGGUGCAGCAACGCCGCGUGAAGGAUGAAGGUCUUCGGAUUGUAAACUUUUGUCUUAUGGGACGAUAAUGACGGUACCAUAGGAGGAAGCCACGACUAACUACGUGCCAGCAGUCGCGGUAAUACGUAGGUGGCGAGCGUUAUCCGGAAUUAUUGGGUGUAAAGGGUGCGUAGGCGGGACGUAAAGUCAGAUGUGAAAUGCGGAGCUCAACCUCCGAACUGCAUUUGAAACUUACGUUCUUGAGUGGAGUAGAGGCAAGCGGAAUUCCCGGUGUAGCGGUGAAAUGCAUAGAUAUCGGGAGGAACACCAGUGGCGAAGGCGGCUUGGCUGGGCUUUUACUGACGCUGAGGCACGAAAGUGUGGGGAGCAAACAGGAUUAGAUACCCUGGUAGU